UUAUACAGUACCCGCAUAGAGAAAUACAGUUUGGCAUACAUUUCAAACAGUAAAUUUGUUCUAUGCGGUAAGGUUAAUGUGUCACAAAUGGUUGCUUUUAUGUUCAACAACAUGACACCCAAAGCUACGUACAGUAAAUAACAGUUUGAAUGCCCCAUACCAAACUUUAACCAUAUAUUGUAGUGUGCACAUAUUGUCAAAGUAUAUGAACAUGAAAACUCGUAUUAAAUGGUUGCAAUAAGCAAUCACACUAUAUCAAACUGUUGAUUAUUAUGCUUGCGCAACACACUAACACAGCUAUAUUUCACAAUGCAGAACUCUUGCAUAACAGCAUGGUAAACAGUUCCGCAUAUUCGUAUUUGUGAACGACAUGAUCCAGAAAGCGCAUCGUCUCUUUGCAAGCUCCCAGCUUGUUUCUUAAUUUCUCGCUAAAUAAUUUACAAAGGCCUGUUAUCCCAAAGCUGUAAACUUUGAAAUAAUGUCAUAUAUAUUCCCUAUUUUCGAGUAUUGAUUAGUGUUACUUUUUAAAGUAGGUGGUUGAUUCACCAUUGAUUGACAUUGAAAUUUGUGAAUGAAAAUGACAAAAAUAUUAAUAUUUAUUUAUGCUUAUUUUUAUCGGCACCGAACUUCGAAUACCAUAUCUUAAUGUAUUUUAGCAAAAACUUGAAAAUGGCAAAAAAAAUAUUUAUUCGAAACUUGAUUAUAAAUUUCCCGAGAGUAGGACCUUUUUAUAUGUUACGCGAGAUUUGCUCCCUUUGCGACAAAAAUAAAAAUGAAAAAGAAACAUUCCGUCGCCGUCGUCGCGGGAACACCGGGAGAACUAAAUGGUUCUGGGGAUCAGAAUCUGGUCUGCGGAAUCUAUCAGCUGCAGUGAACCUGAAAAACAAAACAGCAAUCGAUUGUCCAACCAGAAGUAUAAAAAUCUUAGAGAUCGAUUCUUGGAUUGGAUCUAGAGGAUCUUCAAACGAUUACGGCAGUUUCGGUGGCCAAAUCGUGCCCAGCGAGUUCCACUGGCCUCCCAAAGGCACCUCACAAUCCGACCGCUCAUCGCACCGUCGUUCUGGCAGUGCCUAUCCUCAAAGAAUUCCACCUCAGCAUCCAACGCAAGCCGGCCAACACGUACGUUCCGGCUAAUGCAAUGUUCCGAUUCGAUGCACACCAGACGGCUUGCCAGAGGAGUAUAAAUUCGUAUCUGACGUCGGAUAUGAUCGCUGGUGCCGAUAACAACUUCAAGUGUGUCCAUUUUGAGCGCGUUAGCAUUGUAUCCUCAUAAGGAACGUAUUGGAGGCUAAGGAAGGUUCAAGAGAAGGCAAGCUUAAACAAAAACAGAAUCAGCAUCAGAGCGGAAGAGGUCUUAUUUAUUUGUGAAUGCUGUGUGAUUAUGUGAUUUUUUAAACCUGUAAGUCUGACCUAGGGGUCAUUCAAAAAUGACGUCCAUAGUUUAGGGGGGAGGGGGGGUCUGAGAAAGUGUGACACUCCAUGUAUAAGGUAUACGAAAAAGCGUGACAGAGGGGGGAGGGGGGGUCUAAAAUUCCCGAAAAAUGAUGGACGUCAUAUUUGAAUCGCCCCCUACCUUAAUUUCUUCUUUUGCUUUUAUAAAAAUGCUUUUCAAUUAACUAUGAGAGAGGGAUACCCGCAUAACAAAAUACUGUUUGUGUUAAUCUCCACACAGUAUGUCUCCUUCACAACUUACUGUUACUGUACCACGAACAGGUGUUUCUCUGUUGAAAAUAUGAAACUCAAAGCAUCCGACCAUAAAGAACGGUCUAUGAAGACCAUACCAAGUUGUAACAAUUUGUCAUAUUGUGCAGAAAUUAUCGAACAAUAUGGUACCGAAAACUCAAGAGGCAUGGUGGCAAUGCAGUGUAACCUUUUCUCAAACGGUUUGCGAUUUCAUUUGCGCAACACACUUACACAUGUGCAUUUCACUGUAUGCCACUUGAAUUCAACAGUUUGUCAAAUAGUAGCUUUUAUUAGUGUCUGUGCCGAUCGAACUUUGCAGUUUGCAUUUAGAAGAAAAAAACAAAAUCUUUCGCCCGCGAGUUGAGUGAACAACAAACUAAAAACUUGCCUCGGAAAAUGGUUUGAAGCGCUUGGAGCGGUCUGGAUGGAACAAGGGAUGCCGAAACUUCAAUUCAAUUCCAGGAGCCUGAUCCGGCCUGACUAUGUGAGGAGUCCCGCAAAAGAAAGCAGCGAAAGAUUCGCCCUGCUGGGCGCGGAAAUUUAAUGCUCCUUGUAAUUAAAAAUGCACUCUCACCGAAGUAAUCUCCAGUUGUUCGAUUAAUAGCCGUUAAUACCUAGAGCCCAUCAUAAGGGCGUUGGAUUUGUUUAAUAAAAAAAAUAUCCAAUGAACGCACAAAAGCUUUUAUUUUUUAACAGUUUAAAUGUAGCCGAACCUUAUAUUAUAAGCUUGAAAUACAAUGGAAGACCAUAAAUCAAUAGUAACCCAUACAGUAUUCGUUUUUCUUCUAGAUUUAUUGUUAAACUGUUCUAUAACCAUUUGUUAUGCAGUGAAUUGUCUGAAAAACUGGAUAAUAUAUUGACCAUAUCCUUUACUGUAUUACGAAAAAUUUGUUCGAGAAAACGAGCGAUUUUUUAUGGUAACCUAUCUUAACCGCCUAUUCCACAUACUGUUAUUUGGCCGAUAACCGUUUGUCAAACAGGCAAAUAUGUACAUGGAAUGGUUAGCUUACUGUUAUCUCCGAUAGUCUGAGAAAUGGUUAAAUGACAAUUGCUAAUGGUCAUAUACAGUAUGAGAAACGUUGCAUUUACAGUUUGUGGUUAUGCGGGUAGAACAACCACAGGAACAACAACUUCAUGUAAAUUUAUUGUAACUACCUUUUUAUUAUAAAUUGGUUCAUAUUUAUUUAUAUCAAUAAAAGUAUGUUAAUAAUUACAACCUGUAAACAGAACUAUCGUCCUGAUUUAUUAUAUUUCUUAAUUUUAAUAAAACAAAAGCAUUAGUUUUUAACGGUUUGAAUACAGAAGAACCAUAUAGCAUACGUUAAAAAUACCAUGAAAGACCAUAAAUCAAUCAUAACACAUACAUUGUUAGUUUUCCCCCAGAUUUAUUGUAAAACAGUUCUCUAACCAUUUGAUAACCAGUAAAUUAUCUGAAAAACUGGAUAGUAUAUAGACCAUAUCCUCUACUGUUUUGCGAAAAAUUUGUUCGAGAAAACGAGCGAUUUUUUAUGGUAACCUAUCUUAACCGCCUAUUCCACAUACUGUAAUUUGGCGGAUAACCAUUUGCCAUACUGGCGAAUCUGUACAUGAAAUGGUUAUCUUACUGUAAUCUAGGAUAGUCUGAGAAAUGGUUCAAGGACAAUUGCUAAUAGUCAUCUACAGUAUGAGAAACGUUGCAUUUACAGUUAGUGAUUAUGCGGGUACAUAUUUGCCAUCAUAUGUAU